rnacentral:misc_RNA from 1 species
UAAAAGGGAGCUCUCGCCCACUCAGCCUUCCCUGGUCCUCACCCUCUCCUCUUCUCUAAUCUUCCCUUUUUGCUAGAUUUUGGUCUAGCUCAGCGAACAAAAUUCCGCAAUUAUUGUGCAAACCUUUUCAAAGAUUCGAAGAAACAAGAAGAAAGUAGAGAAGAAUAAGGACUCGCGAAAUGAGGAAGCGGCAAGUGGUGGUAAGAAGAGAAGAACCUUCAUCAAGACGGUCUUCUUCUUCAUCUGUCACCGUUAGGAGUGUUAGAUAUAGAGAGUGCCAAAAGAAUCAUGCUGCGAAUGUUGGAGGUUAUGCUGUUGAUGGGUGCAGAGAGUUCAUGGCUAGUGGCGAGGAAGGCACAGAUGCUGCACUCGCUUGUGCCGCUUGUGGCUGCCACAGGAAUUUCCACAGAAGAGAAGUGGAGACUGAGGUAGUGUGCGAUUGUUCUUCGCCUUCUUCAAAUGGGACUUGAGGAUCGAAGAAAGAAGAGAGGAAAAUUGAAGAGUGUGGUGUGUUAUUUAUGAACAAAGAAGGCCAUAGGAAAUUGGUGGAAUUAAGAUGAACUAGCUCUAUUAUUAGGCUUCAAAAAUUGGAUCGAAUAAUUAAGGUUUGUAAUUGAGCCAUCAUAUUUUCGAAUCAUGAUUCCACCAAGUAGUUAGCUGGAAAGAUUGGGAAUUUGAUGGUGAAGGAUAAUGAUUUCUCAAGUGUGAUUUUUGUAAAAUUAGUGUGCAAUAGGAGACAAAUAAUUAUUUUCUC